rnacentral:rRNA from 1 species
UACGUAGGGUGCAAGCGUUGUCCGGAAUUAUUGGGCGUAAAGGGCUCGUAGGCGGUCCAUCACGUCGGGAGUGAAAGGCUGGGGCUUAACCCCAGUCCUGCUUCCGAUACGGGUGGACUAGAGGUAGGCAGGGGAGAACGGAAUUCCUGGUGUAGCGGUGAAAUGCGCAGAUAUCAGGAAGAACACCCGUGGCUAAGGCGGCUCUCUAGUACGGUACUGACGCUGAGACGCGAAGGCGUGGGGAGCGAACAGG